GAUAAAUCGUGUGCACCACCUGCUGCCACCUCCGCUGGCUCCGAGCGUGGGAUACCUGGGAGGAGCACGCUGAGGCUUGGCAGAGGGAUGGGAGGAAGGAAGGAGGAAGAGCCCCGUGGAAGGGCUGUGGCUUUCGGCAGCCUUGUGAAAAUCUGGGCCGGUUUGGGGAAUGUGGGGUGUCCGUCCCCUUGGCCCAACCCAUGGCACAUCAGUGCAGAAGGGCGCGCUGUUAGGGCAGCUGCAGCUGUGCUUCAGUAUGGCUUGGCGAUGGGGGUCAGGGAGAGGGUGUGAUACCUUCUCCCAAAGAGACACUCAGAUGGGGAAAAG
ensembl:lncRNA